rnacentral:tRNA from 1 species
UAAGUAGUAGUUUAAAAAAAACAUAUAAUUUGCAAAAUUAUAAUUAUUAGUUCUAUUUAUUUAU